rnacentral:tRNA from 2 species
GUUUUAAUAGUUUAAAAAAAACAUUGAUCUUGUAAAUCAAAAUUAAUUUACAUUUUAAAGCU